UGUUUAUGAGCUAUUUGUUCUCUUUACCUUUGCCUUUGUCUGUGUGGCUGUUGCUUUCAAAACUGGCCCCCGUAGUAACUAUUUUCAAACUCAAUUAAUUUUUUCACUCUUCUACUAUUUUCUCAAACUGUCCUUCAUGUAAAACCUUUUCCAACUCAACUCCUUCGAAUUCCAUCACAAUCACACUACUCCUAGAAUUUUGGUUCUUCCCCCUUAUGUAAGCAUUACUUUGGGUACCUUUGGAACACCCAAAACAAUAUUGAAACACCCAAUCACCCCUCAGAUUCAAGCCUAAGAACUUCGAAACUUUUAAAUUCCACAAACAAUGCC
rnacentral:lncRNA from 1 species